CACACCGCCCGUCACACCAUGGGAGCUGACUCAACCAGAAGACAAGUAGGCUGACCGCAAGGAGGCCCUUGGCGAAGGUGGGGUUGGUGACUGGGGUG
rnacentral:rRNA from 1 species